rnacentral:rRNA from 1 species
CCUACGGGCGGCUGCAGUAGGGAAUAUUGCUCAAUGGGGGAAACCCUGAAGCAGCAACGCCGCGUGGAGGAUGAAGGUUUUCGGAUUGUAAACUCCUUUUGUUAGAGAAGAUAAUGACGGUAUCUAACGAAUAAGCACCGGCUAACUCCGUGCCAGCAGCCGCGGUAAUACGGAGGGUGCAAGCGUUACUCGGAAUCACUGGGCGGAAAGAGCGCGUAGGCGGGAUAGCAAGUCAGAUGUGAAAUCCUAUGGCUUAACCAUAGAACUGCAUUUGAAACUGUUAUUCUAGAGUAUGGGAGAGGGAGGUGGAAUUCUUGGUGUAGGGGUAAAAUCCGUAGAGAUCAAGAGGAAUACUCAUUGCGAAGGCGACCUGCUAGAACAUAACUGACGCUGAUGCGCGAAAGCGUGGGGAGCAAACAGGAUUAGAUACCCCAGUAGUC